GCUUUUGGGGAGCUCACUGGCUUCGGAUUCUAUCUUAACUCUGAAGUUAAGCGAGUAGUGCACGAGAGCAUUCCCAUGAUGGGUGACCCAUUGGGAAGUUCUCGUCUGAGUUCCCAGAAACAAAACCGUGAGGGCGUAGUCGGAGCCCAAAACAGACAAUAUCGUGCUACGGUGGUGGAACAUGCCUGGGAUGUGGUGGACCCAGGCCAGGAUGUGACAAAUGGUAUCAGAGCCAAUCCCUGCCCAGAAGUGUGCUGACAAGGACGUCAGGCCCCUAAGGGGUUGGAUUGUAAGAUCCCACAUCGCUCAGGGGAAUGAUCCGUAUAUGUAUAUUCUCAUCCCUACCUAGCACGAGGCCUUUUGGGAGCUCACUGACUUCGGAUUCCAUCGGAAUUCGGAAAUUAAGCGAGUAGUGUACGAAAGCACUGCCAUGAUGGAUGACCCACACUUUUGGGAGCUCACUGAAUUCGGAUUCCAUCGGAACUCCGAAAUUAAACCAGUAGUGCACGAAAGCAUUCCCAUGAUGGGUGACCCACUGGGAAGUUCUUGUGUGAGUUCCCAGCAACAAAACCGUGAAGACGUAGUCGUUGCCCAAAGCGGACAAUAUCAUGCUACGGUGGUGGAACGGGCCCGGGAUGUGGUGGACCCAGGCCGGGUAACAUCCCACAUCACCCAGGGGAGUGAUCCUUAAAUUUAUAUUCUCAUCUCUACCUAGCACGAGGCCUUUUGGGAGCUCACUGGCUUCGGAUUCCGUAAGAACUCCGAAGUUAAGCGAGAAGGAGGCUAGAGCACUCCCAAGAUGGGUGACCCACUGGGAAGUUGCUCGUGAGUUCCCAAA
rnacentral:sRNA from 1 species